rnacentral:rRNA from 1 species
GAUGAACGCUGGCGGCGUGCUUAACACAUGCAAGUCGAGCGAACAGACGCUUACCUUGCUCCUCUAACGUUAGCGGCGGGCGUGUGAGUAACACGUGCAUCCCCUACCUAUGGGACUGGCCUGACUUCGGGAAACCAGUGCCAAUACGGGCUAAUCUAUUCAACCGCAUGGGUCGAUAGUUAUUGCCGUGUUUGCUGGCCCUGCUACAUGUCUCCUCGCCGCUUUAGCUAGUUGGUAAGGUAACGGCUUACCAAGGCGACGAUGCGUAGCCGACCUGAGAGGGGGGUCGGCCACACUGGAACUGAGACACGGUCCAGACUCCUACGGGAGGCAGCAGUAGGGAAUCUGCCGCAAUGGGCGAAAGCAUGACGGAGCAACGCCGCGUGAGUGAUGAAGGUCUUCGGUUCGUAAAACUCUGUUAUGAGGGAAGAACAAAUGUGUAAGUAACUAUGCACGUCUUGACGGUACCUGAUCAGAAAGCCACGGCUAACUACGUG